AGUGAACGCUGGCGGUAGGCCUAACACAUGCAAGUAGAGCGGCAGCACAGUAAGAGCUUGCUCUUACGGGUGGCGAGUGGCGGACGGGUGAGGAAUACAUCGGAAUCUACUUUUUCGUGGGGGAUAACGUAGGGAAACUUACGCUAAUACCGCAUACGACCUACGGGUGAAAGCAGGGGAUCUUCGGACCUUGCGCGAUUGAAUGAGCCGAUGUCGGAUUAGCUAGUUGGCGGGGUAAAGGCCCACCAAGGCGACGAUCCGUAGCUGGUCUGAGAGGAUGAUCAGCCACACUGGAACUGAGACACGGUCCAGACUCCUACGGGAGGCAGCAGUGGGGAAUAUUGGACAAUGGGCGCAAGCCUGAUCCAGCCAUACCGCGUGGGUGAAGAAGGCCUUCGGGUUGUAAAGCCCUUUUGUUGGGAAAGAAAAGCAGCAGGUUAAUACCCCGCUGUUCUGACGGUACCCAAAGAAUAAGCACCGGCUAACUUCGUG
rnacentral:rRNA from 1 species